AUGACCAAUACCAGCUAAACACACCCGCUAAGAAAAAUUAUUAAUUACUCAUUUAUUGAUCUUCCCACACCCUCUAACAUUUCUACAUGAUGAAACUUUGGCUCACUUCUUGGUACCUGCCUAAUUCUCCAGAUCAUUACGGGAUUACUUUUGGCCACGCACUAUACAUCAGACAGCUCAACUGCCUUCUCUUCAGUUGCCCAUAUCAGCCGAGAUGUAAACUCCUGCUGAAUGGUCCGCUAUUUUCAUGCUAACGGCACUUCAAUAUUUUUCAUCUGCCUCUUCUUACACAUUGGCCGAGGCUUAUACUAUGGAUCAUUUAUAUUCCUAGGAACCUGAAAUAUUGGCAUUAUCCUCCAAUUCACAACUAUAGCAACAGCAUUUAUAGGCUGUGUUCUCCCAUGAGGCCAAAUAUUAUUCUGAGGCGCUGCAGUAAUUACAAAUCUACCAUCAGCCAUCCCAUAUAUUGGAACUGACCUUAUACAAUGAAUCUGAGGCGGAUUCUCAGUUGACCAAGCCACCCUUACAUGAUUUUUGCCUUCCAUUUCAUCUUACCCUUCAUCAUUACAGCUCUAGCAACUAUUCGCCUUUUAUUUUUACAUAAAACAGGAUCUAAUAAUCCUGCAGGGGUUUCAUCAGACCCUGACAAAAUCACUUUCCAUCCCUACUAUACAACCAAAGAUAAUCUAGUUUUCAUUUUUCUCUUCCUCUUUCUAAUAACUCUAGCACUAUUUUUGCCUGACCUUCUGAACGACCCAGAUAAUUACACUUUAGCCAACCCCCUCAACACCCCACCACACAUUAAGCCAGAGUGAUACUUUGUGUUUGCAUACGCAAUCUUACGAUCCAUCCCUAACAAACUGGGAGGCGUACUGGCCCUUGUAUUCUCCAUUCUCAUUCUAGCAGCUAUUCCCAUUCUUCACAUGUCUAAACAACCAAGCACAGUAUUCAGCCAUUCAGUCAAUGCCAAUUCUGAAUGUUAGUCGCUGACCUGUUUACCCUCAGAUGAAUCGGAGGGCAGCCAGUCGAAUGCCCUUUUAUUGCCAUCGGAAACACAGCAUCUGUUAUGUACUUCUCUACCAUCCUCACCCUCAUACCACUCACUACCUUAACUGAAAAUAAACUACUUAAA
rnacentral:lncRNA from 1 species